rnacentral:lncRNA from 1 species
ACCUGCUUAAAAUAUAAUCCAAACAACUUCUAUAGUUUCGCACCUGCCAAUACUCCAAAUAUGUAUUCUUCCAUUCUCCUAUUUGACUGAGUGAGUUAAAAAAGAAAAGAGAAAAAAAAGACUUCUAAAACUUGUGCAGUAACUAGUUGCAAGGACAUUGACAGGCAGUAAUUUAUGCGUUCAAUAUUCUAAUUUCUUUUAAAUUAUUGGAUAUUGAAUUAAUAAUUUGCAUAUAAUUUAAUAUUUGUUUUUAGAUAAAUACAGAAUUAGAACAAAAAUUGUUAGGUCGGUCAAACCCAUGUCCGAAGGGCUACAUUGAUGGACUGAGAACGAAUGCAGCAUAAUUGAUAUUGUCUUCAAACCGUUUAGUAGUUAGGCAAAGCUAGAAGCUACUCUAUUUUGAGGGAUGAUCAAAGAAUUCCAACAUUAAUCUAAAAUGAUAGUAUAGUACAAUUAAACUAAACU